GGGAGAUCACAUGCGAAGGAUCAGAUCAAUAAUAAGACUAGCUUUAUCCUCGUCCAAUCCAAAAUAGGAUAACUAGAUCGAGCUAACCUACCUUCUUCCGGUCUUGAUCGGAGGAGAAGAAGAAGUGGCAGCGAAUAAUAGUUGAUGGGUAUUAGGUCAACAGGAAGGCAGAAGGAAAAAGGAAUCAAAUCCACUUGUUCAGUCAGCUCGCAAUAGCGAAUACGCGUUUGAAAGCUUUUUCCUUGCUAAAGGAGAUCAAAGCGUGACUUUCCGGUCUUGGUCCUGUACUCUUUCUUAGUCAAGUCAGGUUAUUCGUUCUUUCUAUCAAACCGUUAUAAGGAUCAAAGACAAUCUGUCUUGUUCUGGGGCUAGGAGUUAUAGUUC
rnacentral:lncRNA from 1 species